CUGAGCUUGUACAGAUGAUUGUUAAACGUCAUGAGACUCUGAAAGGUAGAGUAGGCAAGAGGAGGAGGAAGCCAAGAAAAGAACUGUGUGGGAGUUACAGUGAGAAAUGGAUUUCGGCAAAAAAAAAUGAAGCGCUGAAGAAGCAGCCGGAGAGUGAAUCUCUUGAAGAAAAACUUGAAAGCCUGGAUGCUGAAGAUCUCAUGUCUCAUCUGUCACGACCAGAAACCUACCUAGAAGAGGAGAAAAGAUCAAGUUUUUCUGCCACUAUAUUGCAUACUCUUUCCAGUUUAACACUUGUGUUGCUGUGGGGAAAGGAAGGUCCUAGACAUGCUACAGAGCCCUGAGCAGGAAGAAGUUGUUAGAAGGCAGACCUGGCACUGCACUGUGUUUUUGUGGAUUGGGAAAGACAUCUCCUGGCAGACAACUGAGUACCACCAUCUUACAACAAACCCAUAGCCACUGGCAACCCUGGAUGUGACUCAACCCAUGAUGAUGCCUGCUGGUUCUUUAAUUUUACAGCACACCUCUUCCUUUUAAUUAUAUUAUUCAUCUUUGUAGGCAAAAACGUCGCUAUCAUCAUAGGUUUAUGUUAUUCAAAUCAAAGCACGAAAUAAAAAAUAUAAAAUGGCU